rnacentral:rRNA from 1 species
AUUGAACGCUGGCGGCAUGCCUUACACAUGCAAGUCGAACGACGCUAGGGGCAACUCUAGCGAGUGGCGUACGGGUGAGUAAUGCAUCGGAACGUGCCCUCUCGUGGGGGAUAACCAGUCGAAAGAUUGGCUAAUACCGCAUGAGCUCGAGAGAGGAAAGCGGGGGACCGCAAGGCCUCGUGCGAGAGGAGCGGCCGAUGCCCGAUUAGCUAGUUGGUGGGGUAAUGGCCCACCAAGGCGACGAUCGGUAGCUGGUCUGAGAGGACGACCAGCCAGAGUGGGACUGAGACACGGCCCAGACUCCUACGGGGGGCAGCAGUGGGGAAUUUUGGACAAUGGGGGCAACCCUGAUCCAGCCAUGCCGCGUGUGUGAAGAAGGCCUUCGGGUUGUAAAGCACUUUCGGACGGAACGAAAUCGCGCGGGUGAACAAUCCGCGUGGAUGACGGUACCGUAAGAAGAAGCACCGGCUAACUACGUGCCAGCCGCCGCCGUAA